CCCCUUUAAGUGGACACCAGACCCUAAACUUGCUCUUGUUUCCUACAGCAGAGACCCAGCCCUCCCCCACCCAGGGGAAGUGAACUGCUUGAGAGUAAUUCCCUCCACGCCCACCAGAUUUGGCAGAUCUCCAAUUCAACUCAGGUCGCUGGAGGAGGGCUGCAGCCAAGUGCAUGGCUCAGCUACAGAGCAUCCUGGCUUCCGUCCUUCCAUGUUUGUUAAAGAAAACAAAGAACCAGGGUAACUACUUGUCCUCCAGAGCCAAACCUCCACCACUCUCCUAAGCCAGCAGGAAGAGGAGUGUUCCCGC
rnacentral:lncRNA from 1 species